AGAGUAUAGUUCAUUGGUAGAGUGCAUGCUUUGCACACACGAGGUUUUGGGUUCAAUCCCUAGUACCUCUA
rnacentral:tRNA from 1 species